CACUGACAUUAGAUACCCCUGUAGUCCAGGGUGUAAACGCUGCAGACUUGGUGUUGGAAGCCCUUUGGGGGCAUUCAGUGCCGGAGAGAAGUUGUUAAGUCUGCUACUUGGGAGUACGUCCGCAAGGAUGAAACUUAAAGGAAUUGGCGGGGGAGCACCGCAACGGGAGGAGCGUGCGGUUUAAUUGGAUUCAACACCGUAAAACUCACCAGGGAAGACUGUUACAUGAAGGCCGAGAUGAAGACUCUGCUAGAUUUUCAG
rnacentral:rRNA from 1 species